UCUACAUUAACCAACUGUAGUAAAUGUCAAUCCUGACCCAAUCUCACUGGGACUGUAAACAUACCCGUCCCUGGGACUGUGAACACACCCGCCCCGUCUGUCUAAGCCAACGCUACCUCCACGACUAAGCAGUCCAUGGAUAGCAAGUAUAAUCAGCGACAUCAACGCAAAAGAACUAAGCCUGACUCCGGAGUGGCACUCGUGGGCGCAACCCAACCGAGUAUGCAAGCGUGUCUCUGUCGAGCUCAAUCAGGCUCUCACAAGCUAAAAUCAAGUAACAGGGUCCAACUAGUCUAACAACCAACAAGUCACGUGCUCUCAGCACAAUCUGACGCAAGAACGGCGAUCCGGGUCCACCGUCAAUCCCGACGGCACGCAAUAGUCCGGAAUAGUCUGACAGCUACUGUAAAAUAGACUCGGCAUCUCAGCACGAGCGUAACAGGUAUCUAAACUACCUUGGCAUCCGCCGCGCUGAAACUGCGACGAUACAGACCAACAACGGCUCCUUGAGCUAAAUCAGAUAGUUUAAGCAUGUGACAAGUUCAAAUCGCAGGUUUUCUCCUAAGUCAUAUCCAAGUCCAACAUGUGCUAAUAUCUAAACAUCGGGUAAGCUCCAAUUCAAGUUUUUAAUUGUAACUAUGCCAAAGUCAAGAAUCGAGCAAUUUCUAUAUACAAUGCAAUACUACAACACAUGUCGACUCUACAAAUGCUUAGGAGAUAAACCGACGAUUAACCCACCUCGAAAGCUACUCCCAAUCCGGCGCGACGUCGAAGACGGCAGACUCGCACCCUCGCCCGGCCUCCCCACGCAGCGAGUAAGAUGCUCGCGUGCUCGAACGGCUACGCGGCGCAACGUCGACGUCCAUCCGAGCUCCAACGGCACUCCACUCGAGCUCCACCUCAACGGACCAAGCUAAAGAGAUGAACGAGAUAAUUAAUUCUCUCUAAAGUCUCAGAUAGAUAUAUAUAUUGGUUGAGUAGGUAGGUGGAUAGUGUAAGGACUGAGAUUUUGGUAGUAUAGCUAAACUCUCAGUUGAUGAUAUUUUUGUGUGUAAUUUAAUUACAAAAGCACUCGUCAAGUUUCGGGAGAAAUCGAGCUAAAACGGAGAUUUUACGCGAUUUCCAAGUUUCACUUAAAGUGAAUAGUAACUUGGUUUUUCCGGAGAGCUCAAUGCGUAGGGUUGGCUUCUGGCGCGUAUCGGACACCGUUCAUAGCAGUCCAAUAGCUCGUUUCGAACGGUUUGGUUAUUCUGGAAUCGAUGGCGCUGACGGAUUUUGGGUUUGAUGCACGGAUUUCAAGAAAAUAGAAAAAUACAUGUUUUAUAUGUAUUUGUGAGUAGUUUCUUCUGUUGGAGAGAGAAAGCGGAUUUCGUCGCGAAUCCGUGAUUGAUCAAGGUGAACCGAAAUCGUGGCUUUGUUGUCUCCGUCGUGCUGAUCGCACCAGUGCGAUCCGUUCGCAAAUCUGACCGACGGAUCUGCGGAGAUCGCGUGUUGAUCAAGGAAAGGUCGGUGAGGGCAAAAUGGUAUUUUUACAAAAGUUGCGA
rnacentral:lncRNA from 1 species